AAGGCUGAGAGUUUCGCCCUGGCUUGUGCUCCCCUCCUCCUUUGCUUCCCAACGCUUCUCUCCAAACCUCAGUUCCCUCCUCCCCCUCCCCCUGCGGGCCACGGCCUGAGCUCCGGUCUCCGAGCCGCCCGAAGCCACCGCCCGAUCGCUACCUCGCCCUCCCCCGCUCGGGCGCCGCGCGCGGUGCGAUCCGCCCUAACAUCUGUCCGUCCAACCAUUGGCGCAUCCAUCAGUGUCACUGAGCUGCACAUCGCAGCGACAACCCGUCACGCGCAACACGGGCUAUGCGGAGUGCAGACUGCGACCGCGCUGCCUUGCCCGGACACUCAAACAGGGUUCUGGCCCGGCGUGGCACUGCCUGGAACCCUGAUCUCUACAGUGUUCUUUUAACCAUACGCACCGCCUUUAAUACCAAGAACUCCAAACGGGACUAGUUUUGCAGGCCAUGCUAACAAUGGGACAGAUGGAGAGGGACACUGUCAACCUAGCCCUAGCAAUUCCAAGUUCUCUUUGCCCCUUCUCUGUGGACUGGGUGUGGCGUAGGAGAAAAGGCAGGGAGGCUUCCCCGAUCUGCACCAAGCACAGUGUGUACUUGAAUGCAGGGGCUUAAAUGGGCUCCAGCUCGGCCGAAUCUGGGGCACAUCUUCUGGCCAGAAGGUCUAAAGCUAAAACUUUGCCAGGCCCCUACCUGGCUGCUGCCUGUGAGGAGCGAGAGAGAGGGAAGGAAACGCGGAUCCCAGUGAAAACCAGGGACUCGAUUUAGGGAGUAAUGGUGUCAGGGUGGCAGUAGGUCUGUAAUUCAUAUGUUAUUUACAGAGUGAGAAAGGGCAAGGCCAUAUGUUUGAGAAGCCAGAGCUUUGCGGGUAGUUCGCAGGGCGCCAUUCUCCAAGAAUGCUGACCUCCCCCGUGGUUACCAUUGCUUCUUGCUUUCCCCACCCGUACCUCUCACCCCGCUGUCCAGAGGGCAAAUAUCUUCAUAUAGGUGCCUGAUCAGUUUGGCCAGGCCAAAGGGGCUGUCUGGUCCUCCCCCUAAGAAGUUCAGGGGAAGGGCGCACGGAAGACCUACUCCUUGGACAUCUGCGGCGUGGCGGUCCCUGGCAUUUUACCUGCGCGUAUUCCUACUGCAAAUAUUUCUGCCCGGGUGUCUGGUGAGUUCUGCCCCACUCAAGAGUCGGCUACAGGAGCGGGUCAAAACCUGUGCUUGUCUUCGUUCCGCGAUUCGCGAGGUAGAAGGGAUACAGGAGCCGCUUUCAGCGCCGGGAGCCAAGGUCUGCGCGGCUCCGGAGGAGGCCGGAGACGGCCGCGGCGGCGCUCACAGGGGCUCCUUCCUGCGGGAAGGAGGGACCGCGCUCCAGGGUGCGGCCGAACCGCUUUCACGCUAGAGGAGGGCGGAAAAGCCGGCGCCCGGCGGAGGAGCUAGAAUUCUGUAGAAGGUACCACCGUGUAGAAAUCUUUCCACCUCACUUGGAAGAGUUGCGGACACCCCUGAAAAGUGACAACAGGCUUCCGCUCCCGCGCAGGCACCUGGUGACUUAGCCGAGUGAGAGCCACGCAAAAAGUGACCCCCAGCCCAGUGAGACGCUCCCAACUUUCCGAGGUGCUGCUUUUCUGGGCAUUUUUAAGUCCCUAAACACAAAAGAAGGAAAAGCGGGCUGAGGGGCAGUGGUGAGACAUAUCGAAAUGCCCAACGGCAAACGCCCAUGGGCGAAACUGAUGGCUCCCAUUGUGGCCAGGUGGCUCACCCAGCAGCGGGGUGGCAACGUGGAUAAGUCCAGAAAAUUCCAGGGGGCCAUGAAGACAAUUCAUGACCCCCAAGAUUGUGGCCUGGGCCCAGUGGAACCCUGGUCCUCCUCCCAGGCGGUGCCCUGAGCGUUCUGCAGUACAGAUCCUCCCACAUGCCAGUUUUUCAGGUCAGGGGUUAGAAAUGUGAUUCUAGCCUUCCAAGCCCUGAGACCUGCAGGCCCCAGUCCCUGGGCCUACUUGCGUGGGGUAUGUCGUGCCACGGGGAGACUUGGUGCGCUUGACCAACCAGAGCCCCACCGGGGCGAGUUGGGGGGUGGGGGAGUUAAAGGCGGGCGAGGCUAAACAAGUGUGGUGGAGGGGCAAAGAGCUGGCCCCAAAACAGGAUGCUCCAGGUAAGGAAGCUGUAGCAGGGAUGCGGGGACGCAGCAGUCGGCCACCGCCGCCGCCGGGAGGCAGCCGAGGUUGUGUUCAAGGUGCAAAUGAGGGCAGUGGGUGACAGUCCAGCCUGACCCGGUGGGGAAGGCGGAAGUAUGUCCCCAUUUGGCAUGGCCACUGAGGAAAAAGGCUUCAGGAAAGAAGGUGUCCUUGAAGCUGCCAGUCCAAGACAGAUAGCCAGGGUAGGCCAAGGUCCCAGGAACUUGGGAGCCUGAACCCAGGCCAUGACCAGAGAUUCUCUGUGCCCUGAGGGAGGAACUGGCCAGCUGGAGGGACAGGACACGCUGGGUAGAACACGCAGGGAACCUGCACCCCAUUUCAUGGUGCGAAGGCUUCAGGCCCGGUGAAGGGCCCUUGGGGAGCCCACUGAAGGCCCAGCAAAGGUCAUACCAAGUGCUUUUUUCCUACCUGCCUCCCCCUGGACCGCUGGCCUGGACCGGCUGCCCCCUUACACACUCCUCACACUACCUUCUGGGCUAGGCAAAGGAGGUACCCUACAUGCAGAGAGGCUGACUGCCUCCACCUGCACACCUCGACCAGGAAUUGGGCCCCAGGACCUCAGCCCCUCCCUCAGCGCUAGAAAUCUGGACUCUGGGGCCAGGCCCUCACCAGGCGGUAAAUUGUUUGCUGGAGGUGCAUUUACAGAGCAGCGAAGUUUGUUUCUCUUUUUCCGGUAGCUUUGUUUUAAGGAACCAGAUGUUUUGUCUGUAGAUUCUCCCGAGAACUUUUAUAGUUUUGACGUGAAAUAAGCCUUUGCAAAUCGGAGCGGUAUAUUAACACCACUUCUGUGGGGGCUUUCGGGGAGCUGCAUUGGGAGGUGCCUGGAUGUGAGAUGGGGUAGAGUUAUGGGAUGGGGGUGCAGAUCUCUCUUUGAAGAAAAGUAGGAGACCUCUCUCUCUCAAAGUCAAGAAUUGGUGUUGGGGUAUGAAGCACCUCCCCCAAUACACGGGGUACCUGUAUGCCCCCCACCUUUCCCCUCCCUGGGGCUUUACUACUUUGUAAAUUUCUCGUAGCUGAGUGCACAGAAGUCUGGCCCAAUUUUGCCAACUUUUCACCUGCCUGCCAUUCCCGUAGGACCACUGGACUCAAAGGCAACAGGGCCUGUGGUCUUCCCAGGCCAACCUUGAUACCCCUGGUCUUUUGGGGAGGGGCAGAGCAAGGGAGCCCCAGGCUGGCCCUGAGCUCCCAGCACAACUGGACACAGAAAACUUUGGAUGGAAGCUGACCUGACCAAGCCCCUUAGGAAGUCAGGGCUGGCAGGUCCUCCUCCUCAAUGCCUCAUUUCUAUCAGCUGGAAAUUUCCAGGCAGUUUAUAAACGUGUUAAAGCAAAACCAAACCUAUACACCUAACAGAGGGAGGGAGCAUGGUAAUCCGAGGGAAAGCAGAUCUUACUACAUACCCCUCUACGGGUUGGGUGAUUCCUGGAGACCACUUUCUCCAGUUUUCUAAGACAGGCUGGGACCACACCCACCCCUCCCCCCAAGCUUGCCUGUGUUCUUGGUCUUGGAUCUCCAAAUUUGGAGAGUCCAGUUUGGAUCUUUCUUCUGUAAUUAUUUUUCAAGCUCACUCAUUUACGGAACUUUGAGGAAAAAAAAAAAAACUUUUUUAAGAGACCGGAGAUUUAAUAAAGAAAAUAAGAAGUCUUUGUGUUUUGGUCUAAGGAGGUCAGGUACACAAGUAAGUCUAGCUCGGAGAGGCAAUUACUGGCGAAAUGCCCUUUGGUCAAAUCCCACGCGCCUACUUUGACUUUUGCGGGGAAUUUCCCGAAUUACUCGCUGCUGCGUGGCAUGGUUUUUCCCACUCUGGAUGAAAUGGGUUUUUGGAAACCUUUUGGGCAGAGCUUAGAAAAAAAGAAAAAAGAAAGAAAAAAAAAAAACAGAAACAAAAAACCACCCUGGAGACAGCUGCAGCCGUGUCGGGGCUCACCCCUGGCUGGGAGAGAGCAGCCCUUUGCUAGCUGGAAAGGAGAGGUGCUCAGCCCUUCCCGCGCCGAUGCAAGAGUUGCCGGCACCAGCGGUGUGUCUGAAUCAGUGCGUGGGCAGCCCAGUGCGAGGCUGUGUUCGGACUCCAGUGGAGAAACACUGGAGGAGGAAGAGGAGAAGGAGGUCUCAGAUAUCAACCCACCCGCUCUUCGCAGACCAGACAGCCCAGCUUUGCAUGCCUGGUGACCUCAUUAACUGGCCGGGGAAUUUGCAAGAUGAGGAAGAAUCUCUUUUCCUUUUCUCUUCCUGUAUCGCUUUUUUUCUGUCUUACACAUUAUGGUUUUGUGUUCGUCCCUGAAUUUACAAACGGGAAAGACCGAGGGCAAUUCUCGGUAGGACAGGUACAAGAGAGAGGGGCACUGGGCCGGGUCUUCGUUCUUUCUCAUUUUCUGUUGCCUGAAGCUUGCGCGUAUCACUGGUAUGUCCGGAAUAGGAGAGCGGGAGUUCUUUGGGACGAGGUGGUCGGAAGGGUCAGAUUCUUUGUAUGCAGGUAGUGCCUGACCUCAGAGGCUCUGAGCUCCCCAGAUUUUCCUCCUCUGCAGAGAAGCUCUGAAUUCUUCCCAUCGUCUUCCUCUUUCUGACACUUUUCUUUCCCAUCUCUUUCCUCUUCUUUCUUCCUUCCUCCGCCUUUCUCCGGUUGCUUUUUGCGUUCUAUCAGUCCCUCCCCAACCCCCACAAGGAUCCGGAAAAAUGAUCUAUUUCGGGUCUAGCAAGCGCUCACUCCAAAGAGGUCGAAUCCUCCUCUCUGUGGUAAGGCAGAGGCGGCCACUCCCCGCCCCUCCGUCGUGCGCAGCCCGCAAGGGAACAAGGUACUUUGUAGUCGCCGCAGCUUUUUAGGUGGGGGGCUGGGGGGGGGGGGGGAGGUCAGAAAGAGGUUGACACUUGGUUUAAAAUAAAAGAACAUGUUAAGAAGUUUCAAAGCUGCCAAUAAAACCCUUUAAGUGGCUUGUGAUUCAGUGCCUGGAGUUGCGGCGAUGGCAUUGGUAAAUGACUCCAAUGCCCAAAGAAAAAUAUUACAAAUGCCGCUGUCUCGGCCACCAAUCGGGCGCCGCUCUCCAGCGCGGGCGGUGGCUCCUCUCCGGCGCGGAGGGCACCCGCAUUUGCAUGAUAAAUUGACCAGACAGGCGGCAGCCAAUGAAAUAUUCAAAUGAGGCCAGGGGUGAGGGGUGGAGUCCCGGGGGCUCCCCGUGGAGCCCGCGGCGGGAAUGCGCGGUACCACCUCUCUAUCAGCGCCCUCUAGAGGUGGGAUAUCGGGGGCGGUCGCUCCAGCCCCAGGGACAGAGUCGGGAGUUGGGCCAGGGAGGUGGUGGGCUCAAGGUGCUCUCAGCGCUGGCCUCCAGGACUAGGUGCGCGGCCGUCUCCUUGCGCCUCUUGCACUUCGACUGUUGGGGGAUUGUAGAGGCCGGUGGUGACCUCUGAAGAAGGGGUUUAAGAGGAGAUCUGGCCCCUUCACCCCAACCCCUUCCCUAGGUUGUCCUAACACAGCUAAAGCUAAAUAGUGUGCCUGCUCUAUUGACAUAGUUUCAAGACAAGACCUUUGCCCACUCAGGUCCACAAUACCUUCCCCAACGUCCUGCAGUAUUGAAAUUCUGGAGCAGACAAACCCAACUUGCCCUGAACAGAGAACUGUGUGCCCACGCGGGCCCCAAAGUCCAGGGCACCGGGACCUAGGACUGGUUUGGGGCACCUCCUGGGAAAACACGUCCUGGAGCAAGUGCCCAGACCAUGAGGCAGGAGCUCCUAUGAGUGUGCAAAGGCAGGCAAGGAAGGAGAUGUGUACAGGCUACAGAUGUCCAGCCAGGAGGGGUGUGGAAAUAAGUGUGCGUGCAAGUGCACACAGAAGGGACCAGCUCUGCCCUGGUGCUGACCUGCAGGAAAACAGGACUCGACAGGCACGAGGUGAGGCCAGCUUCCAGGCCUGGCUCCUUCUGGUGGCUCAAGACUUAGUGGGGGGCUUUGCACAGAAUACUGGGCUGCCUUCUGCCAAGGACCAAGGGAUAUCUCUUGUCCCCUGAGCCUCUCUCCCCUCCCCCCAGCCCCAUAGCCCCUCUUGUGCCCAGUACCCCGGGGCCUUGCCACCCUACCCCUGCAGCCUUAUUUUUCAAGUACAGAGGUUUUAGAAGUUCACUUGUCUCUCCCCGGUGUGGACUGGUGAGAAGGUUUUUCCUUCUCCAUCUUCCCAGCAGUUAGAGUAGGGUCCCGGCCAACAACUGCUCCAGGGAGAGCCUGAUCUCCACCCCUCUUCUCAGCCAAAAGGUGGUCAGGCUGAAGGGAAGUCUGAGAUCCUGCCCAAAGAGCCGUCUAGGUGCCUCUCUAGGAGACAUACUCAGCUCAGGCAAUCAUCCACAGCCAUCCUUCCUUCCCUGCCUCAUUCUUGAGGGGCAAGGGGGACGAUGGGGAGGUGGGGCCAGGGGGUGUUCUCAGAGCCUGGCCCCAGGCUGGUCACCCAACUGUAAAUGCACAUAGAAAAAAAAAAAAUAGUAGCACUGAAUACAAAUUUGAGAGAGUCUGGAUUUUGACUUUUGAUUGCCUUACAGAUGUUAGCAAUACUUUCAAAAUAUAUGACCCAAAGAGGGGGAUUGAUUUGCAUCAUUUAAAGUUUUUAGGAGCGUUUCAGCUGAAGAGAAGGGGCUCUCUGGGUAUAUGCUGGGGGAACAGCUGGUGUUGGGGUAGGUUCAGGUAUAAAAGGAGCCUCCCUGCUUCCAAGAGAACACUCGUCCCAGCCGACAUGAAUGUCUGGGGAUAAGGUUCCCACUAGGAGAAAGCCUUUGGUCUCCAAGGCAGCAAGGGCACCUGCAGGGCACAGGCACUCCCAGCCGGCAAACCCUCCUAACUCCUCCUCAGGCCUUACCUGUCGGCCAGGACAAAUGAGACUUGAAAAUGGGCCAGAGUCAUUCUCCAACAGUGAAAUUUGUCAAGGAGCCACUCCUUCUUCAAAUGUCCAGAAUUGCAAGCCGCUCCCUCUUGGGGAUGAGGCAUCUAUCUAGGGCAUGUCGUUGAGAGUCAAGAAGGGAGACAUUAAAGGGGAGAGAGUAGAGGGCUGUCUAUCCAGCCCAGGACCUGGUCCUACCUGAACCAGAUUAGGCACCAGGAAUGAGGGAGCAAAGGCUGCAGGGAGGAAUGAAGGAAAGCAACUUUCUCUUAGGAGAGAAAUACCAGCCAGCAGCGUAGAAAGGUCAAGCCCACAGUGUGUCUGCUCUGGGUGUGCACCUGUGCACUUUGUGGGUGAAUGCAAGUUCUGACCGUGUGAUGCAGGGCCUGGGCUCGUGACCCAUAACUCACCAAGUGCCCUCCUGCAGAUUGCUACCCCAUCUUUGAGCCUUCUGUCCUUCAUCUCUAAAAGCAGCUCCCUCCAUCGUAAGCACUGAGUAGGGACUCGGGGAGGAAACCUCCGAUCAAAGUUGGAGAUGCCCUUCCAAACCUUUGCCUCUUUGUGCUACAUUCUGGGAGCUUUCAAGGCCGGACAAGGGUUUGAAAGAGAAACAGUGUUACCAGCUGCAUGCCCACCUGCGAGUCUCAGUAGAGCAUGCUGUCCCAGUACUUGUGAGGCUCACCUGGGCUGACGCAUAUGUGGCUGCUUUGGGGAAGGGCUCAGCAUAUGCAGUAGUUGUGCAAUAAAUAGCCAUGGGGUCAGACCUCCCUGAAGAUAGGCAUAUAAAUGGCGUGAGGUUGGAUGCACCCCAGGAUGCAAGCAGGUGCUUGGAGUGGGGCAAAAAAAAAAAAAAAAAAAAAAAAAGAAGAGGGGAGUUUCUGGAGGCAGAGCAGUGCACAGGCCUCCUGACUUCCUGGGAAGAGUGAGCAUUUGCAGGGCGAACGAGGCAGAUUCCGCCAGGUUUUUCUGGGAGCUAAUUAAAAAAGGGGUAUGGUGAGGAAGCUCACUGAUAUUUCUAUUUUCCCUGUUAGUAGUGACUGGAAUGUGUGCCAUCCAGGUCAGAUGGAAAAUAGAAGCCUGGAAAAUCUGACACCCUCAUUGAUUUGCUCUCUGCCAUCGCUACUCGCGAGAGGAAGAGAUGUGACUUCAAAAUUGCAAUUAGGAACCAGCCCGCUAAGGGUUCCUUUCGUGAGCUCCCGUGCUGUGCCGAUCACAGGCCUGCCUCUUCUCAUUUCCUGAGGAGAUUAUUUCUUCAGGAUGACAUCCCAAAAGUAAAAUGAUGGAAUCAAAGGUUAAACCUUUACCUAACACAAUGCCGGCUGCAGAACAGACGGGACUUCAGCCAGUAUGGUUACAAGCGUUCAUGGGGAGGCUCUUGACCAAUUCCUUACUCAAGGCCUUUCCUCUGGAACAGGCAAUUCUUAAUUUUGUUGUAGCUGCAUUAAAACAAAAAAGGCAAAAGAAA